AUUGAACGCUGGCGGCAGGCCUAACACAUGCAAGUCGAGCGGAUGAAGGGAGCUUGCUCCUGGAUUCAGCGGCGGACGGGUGAGUAAUGCCUAGGAAUCUGCCUGGUAGUGGGGGAUAACGUCCGGAAACGGGCGCUAAUACCGCAUACGUCCUGAGGGAGAAAGUGGGGGAUCUUCGGACCUCACGCUAUCAGAUGAGCCUAGGUCGGAUUAGCUAGUUGGUGGGGUAAAGGCCUACCAAGGCGACGAUCCGUAACUGGUCUGAGAGGAUGAUCAGUCACACUGGAACUGAGACACGGUCCAGACUCCUACGGGAGGCGGCAGUGGGGAAUAUUGGACAAUGGGCGAAAGCCUGAUCCAGCCAUGCCGCGUGUGUGAAGAAGGUCUUCGGAUUGUAAAGCACUUUAAGUUGGGGGGAAGGGCAGUAAGUUAAUACCUUGCUGUUUUGACGUUACCAACAGAAUAAGCACCGGCUAACUUCGUG
rnacentral:rRNA from 1 species